CCGCGUUAUUCGGGGACAGUAUUUGACGCGUGCCGGCACCGUGCUAUAACGAAGCAGGCUACUAUACGGAAAUAGAUGUAAGCCAGUAGAAACGUACCAACGGUCACACGCAAUUUUUUUCUCAACGACUUACCUCUGCUUUAUGCACGGUCACCAUUCGUCCGAGAAGACAAGACGUUGUGCACCACGAUGUAGCACCGCAUCUUGUCGUGGCUACAGGCGACGAAUAAUGCACCGUGACGAGUAGUGACGAUCGGUGACGAACAGUGACGAGGGCACCGUACUACCACUUGUUCCACACCAAGCGCUGCAAUCGACGUUCACGCGUCUAUCGAUUAGGAGAUGGACAAUGUAGCAUAGUCUCAGCUUAGAUGCAACGCGAGAGGAGAACGGUUCCGAAGUGGUUCAACAUUUUCUCAGCGAAACUCCGUGGCAAUUUGAAAUCGAGUAUAGCGCACAGUUCGAGCCGUGGGAUAGUUUAACACCGGAGUUGAAAGUCGGUGAACAGCAUUUUUAUUUCACGUUCGAGUCGUUCGAAGCGGCAGUGGUAACAACAGAUGCUGGCCCACGACAGCGAACAGAGGUAUUGUUUGGACUACAGCCAGAUAUGCGCCUGCGUGGGGAAUUACUGUAAAGCUACCCUGUCUAUCGCGCGUGAGAUGAAAACUUGACCUCCAUCUAUGCCACUCGCUUUCCUCUUUUCGCGAACCGAUAGCUCGAUAUCAAUUUUGAAUCUGUAUAAAAUUUGCGCGUGCGCACAGCCGGCUCCCGGAUGCGCAGGACGCGCGAAUACCUAACGAAAACCAUAGACUUUAUUUUAAUCAACUUUUCAUUGAUUUGUGUUCGGUAUUUGUUCGAGCAGCAAUGGAACGAGAAUAAUUAAUGAAAAAUAAAACAUUACAUUGACGUAUGUCGCUUUUUUCGAUCAGCUCUUUUCGGUUUUAAGUUAUGUCUACACUUUUACAACAUUUUUAUGGAAACCUUUCUAACGGAGACAUACGCUUUAUUUAUUUGAAUAUUAUUAUAUGAUGACAACAAUACGAUAGUGUCUAACUUUACGAAUUAAACAUUGUUUAUUUUAUUUUACUACAAAUUUGUUAUAUAAGAAAAUCAAAUGAAAACUAUAUAAAGUAUUAAAUAUAUGAUAAAUAUAUGAUUCAAUUAAAUUAGACGUAAAUGGUGGCGCCAUCCGGCGAUGAAGUUAAGGAAGUAGAAAGUCAGAAGUGUUUAAAUUUUGUCAGAUAGACCAAAAUUGAUUUCUUGAUGAACAAUUUAAUUAUUAUAGUACAUGUAUAGACUUCUGUUGAACUUGUAAUGGUUUGUAUGUUCUGUAAUAAAGCAAUAACCUCGGACAUGUAAUAAAUAUGAAAAACAUUGUCGUCGUAGUUUAUUA